UUUCAUAGUGGUUUGUUAAAGUUUUAUUUCUUAGCUUUGUUUAAUAAAACAACGAUUCAAUCAUUUAUAAUUCAAUGAUUUAUUUAAAAUAGAAAAUAUAUUUUUUUUAUUUGUGUUCAGAAACACAAAAUUUGACCUUUAAUUCUAUUUUACUUUCUAUUUUUGAGUUCUUUUGUUUCUCACAAUCUCUUUGCUCUUCCCCAUAGGAUCUGGUCUGAGCUCUGAUGUCAUCAAUGCCGUUGCUGUUUGCAUUGUUUCCAUUGGCAUUGGUGUUGCUGUUGUUGGUGUUGUUUUUAUUGUUUCUGGUGUUGUUGAUGUUGUGGAUGUUGGUGUUGGUGUUUUUGGUAUUGUUCUUAGUGUUGCUGGUGUUUUUAUUGCAGCGAUCCUGAGUCCUUUUCUUUUCAAGGAGAAACAGAACUGAUCUCUGGACUGAUUCUGCUUCCAUCACUCUGAGAAACGAGAACCCAGGAAGAACCAUGAGGCACGGAGAAGAAUAUUUUACCAAAAACCCACCAUGAGCACAGAAGACAAUGCAUGAAACCCAAACAAUCACGUGUUGCAUUUUUCUGAUUGAUGAUGUAGGACUAAUAUGCAGAAAAUGAUGCUUAAAUUUGUAUAUCUGAAUAUUUCUUUAUUCAAAUCUUUUGUAAAUCAGGAGCAGACGAAAAAAUUACUCUAAAAAAUAUUGUAUUUGUCACGUAGACAAUUCGCUGAGCGGGGCCACACGCUUACUGCUCAUCAUUUAGAGGUCAGUAAUCACAACCACAAUUCACACUUAAGGCAGACCGGAUUCUAAGGUGAAUUUUAAAUGUGCCACAUGCUCCAAAAAAUUGGGCAAGGGUCACUUAAUUAGCUUUGAUUCGGUUUAGUUUGUUAGAUUUAUGAAUUUCUCGUAGAUACACCAUCAACAAUCAAAAUUAAGCAGUGUUGUUUUUUUUUUUCUUAAUAUAUUUUUUUAUCAGUCUACCCACUAAUACAGUUGCUGUGUUGAGAUGAUCCAAUGUGGUACAAUGUGUCUUUUGUUUUGAAAGGAAGUCAUGUGAGUUUAUGUAAAACAGUAAAAACUCUUUCAGUUAAAGCUGUGUUUUAAACCAGUUAAAUUCCUGAUCUGGUCCUGGUUUUCAGUCUGUCUGUGUGAACAAAUCAGCUUUAAUCCUCAUAAAUAAAAGAAAUCAAACAAAUGUUUCUAAAUAGAUUGGAGUCAUUAUUUCAGGUUCUUUGAUUGUUUAAAUUACAUGUAGUGUUUUUGUUGCAGAUUCUUUGUUUGCUGUUGUGAAAAAGUGAAGGAAAAGUAAUAAAAACAAAAAAGUUCCAAACAUUUUUGGAGAUCUUUUUUUUAAUGAAAUUCACGAACAGAUGUCAAAAUUUUAAUCCAAAAAUACAUACACCAUGACAAUAUAAUAAUGGGGAGUAAACAGGAACAAAUUAUCUACAGCAAUGUGGUCAACGAUAAAUAUCUUCAGCCAUUACAGGUCAUGCUGACGUCACAGAAGAAAGUCACAGAAUACAUCAGUGAUCCGUGAGGCAGCCGGUUCAUUAUUGAUCAUCCGUUAGCGUUAGCAUUAGCAUGUAUUGUCAUGAUCUGGAGUUUAUGACAAACACGUCUAAAUUCAAGUCCAGCAGGAUUGAAAGCAGCCUGUUUCAAUGUUCUGGAUCUUUCAUGCUACGGUCACAAACACAACUGCCACCGCGUGAUGGGGAGGCGUCCGCACAAUCUGCUAGAUUUCACACCAUCGCACGAUUUUUAUGAAAAUUGUUGGUUUGAUCAUGAAUGUAGACGGAGGUAGUCUGGCGGCCAUCAGGCGUACAGAAUGACCCUAUUUUUAUAAACCCCCAGGUACUGGGCGACCAGUGGCCCUUGACACGAACAGCCACUGUCCAAAGACAUUUACACAUCGUCCAAUCAGAGCUGCUACCGGCUGGUAAUGCUGGCUGCCACCGCCAUGUGGCAACCAGACUUCAUAAGGUACAUGGCCAUUAUUGAUAAAGUGAGUUUUUUUUGUUUUUGCUGCCAUCUUGACUUUUUCUCUCGGCAGAAAUCUUUGUCACAACGUUACAACGUCAAAGUUUCAACGGCUUUAACUGGGAUAUAAGUUCAAGUUUUGUGGUUAUUUUAGACACAAGUCAGAUGAUACGCAGUUGUAUUUAUCCAUGAAGCCUGACCAGAAUGACCAGAUAGAGCAACUGAACGCCUGCAUCAGAGACA